rnacentral:rRNA from 1 species
UACAGAGGUCCCGAGCGUUGUUCGGAUUCACUGGGCGUAAAGGGUGCGUAGGUGGUUAGGUAAGUCCGAUGUGAAAUCUCCAGGCUCAACCUGGAAAUGGCAUUGGAUACUAUUUAGCUUGAGGAGUGGAGGGGGGACUGGAAUUCUCGGUGUAGCAGUGAAAUGCGUAGAUAUCAGGAGGAACACCGAUGGCGAAGGCAGGUCUCUGGGCUGACACUGACGCUCAUGCACGAAAGCGUGGGGAGCAAACAGG